rnacentral:rRNA from 1 species
UAGCGAACGGGUGAGUAACGCGUGGGUAACCUACCUCUUAGCGGGGGACAACUAUUGGAAACGAUAGCUAAUACCGCAUAACAAUGAUUAACACAUGUUAAGGAUUUGAAAGUACCAAUUGGUACACUAGGAGAUGGACCCGCGUUGUAUUAGCUAGUUGGUAGUGUAAUGGACUACCAAGGCGAUGAUACAUAGCCGACCUGAGAGGGUGAUCGGCCACAUUGGGACUGAGACACGGCCCAAACUCCUACGGAAGGCAGCAG